UCUAAUAUGGCAGAUUAGUGCAAUGAAUUUAAGAUUCAUACAUAAAGUUUAAACUUUUUUUAGAA
rnacentral:tRNA from 1 species